GACAGCAAGGUGCAAGCGGAGAUAAGACAACCACCUGGGUCAGGAACUUGUAGAGAGGAUUCCUACAUGGAGUGGGAGACUGAAAUAAUAACCUCAAAGAUGCCUUCCAAUCAGAAGAUUUGGUGAUUCUUUCUGAGUUAUCAAACUGCCUUCCUUUGACCUUGCUCACAUGUAGAAAUCCAAGUCAGGAAACCCUGCUAUCACACGGAAGCAAGCCUAGGUUAGCCUCCUAAAGAAUCACAAAAAGAAAGACCCUAGCUGUCUGAAUGAUCUGAGCUAAGUCCCCAGACGUGCAAGUGUGGCCAUCCUAGACCACUGAGCUCCAGCCAAGCCAGCUUGCAUCAGAAGAACUGUCCAGAAAACUCACAGAAUCAUAAGAAAUAAUGCAGCGCAGCUUAACUUGGACUCACCACCUAUCAAGUGCUCGACAGCCACGUGUGCAGUGGUUCCUACGUGGAGCAGCAUACAUCCAGAGAUGCAAAUAUUAAUGAGGACAGUGCUAGUAACAGAGUUGCUGAGCAAUCUAUGUCCCCUUGUAAGAACCAGUGCCCCAGGGGAAGAAACAGAACUCCACAAGUUGCCAUGUAAGAUAUCCCUUCCUUCGUCUCCUGCCAUGAUUGUGAGGCACCCCCAGCCAUGUGGAACUGUG
rnacentral:lncRNA from 1 species